GGAUUAGAUACCCUGGUAGUCCACGCUGUAAACGAUGUCUAUUAGCCGUAGGGACUGUAAUGGUUUUUGUGGCGCAGCUAACGCAUUAAAUAGACCGCCUGGGGAGUACGGCCGCAAGGUUAAAACUCAAAUGAAUUGACGGGGGCCCGCACAAGCGGUGGAGCAUGUGGUUUAAUUCGAAGCAACGCGAAGAACCUUACCUACUCUUGACAUCCUCGGAACUUAGCAGAGAUGCUUUGGUGCCUUCGGGAGCCGAGUGACAGGUGCUGCAUGGCUGUCGUCAGCUCGUGCCG
rnacentral:rRNA from 1 species